GAAAUAUCAAUAAAUAAGCUUCUAACUUAAUUUUAAAGCGAUUUAAAUCGUUUAUAUUUCU
rnacentral:tRNA from 1 species